UACAGAGGGUGCGAGCGUUAAUCGGAAUUACUGGGCGUAAAGCGUGCGUAGACGGUUAUUUAAGUCGGGUGUGAAAGCCCCGGGCUCAACCUGGGAAUUGCAUUCGAGACUGAAUAGCUAGGGUACGGUAGAGGGAAGUGGAAUUUCCGGUGUAGCGGUGAAAUGCGUAGAUAUCGGAAGGAACAUCAGUGGCGAAAGCGGCUCUCUGGGACGGUACUGACGCUGAGACGCGAAAGCGUGGGGAGCGAACAGG
rnacentral:rRNA from 1 species